rnacentral:rRNA from 1 species
UNUGAGCUUGCUUUCGAUACGGGCUGACUUGAGGGAGGUAGGGGAGAAUGGAAUUCCUGGUGGAGCGGUGGAAUGCGCAGAUAUCAGGAGGAACACCGGUGGCGAAGGCGGUUCUCUGGNCCUUUCCUGACGCUGAGAAGCGAAAGCGUGGGGAGCGAACAGGCUUAGAUACCCUGGUAGUCCACGCUGUAAACGGUGGGUACUAGGUGUGGGGGACAUUCCACGUUCUCCGUGCCGUAGCUAACGCAUUAAGUACCCCGCCUGGGGAGUACGGCCGCAAGGCUAAAACUCAAAGGAAUUGACGGGGCCCCGCACAAGCGGCGGAGCAUGCGGAUUAAUUCGAUGCAACGCGAAGAACCUUACCUGGGUUUGACAUAUGCCGGAAGCGUUCAGAGAUGGGCGUGCCUUUUUGGUCGGUUUACAGGUGGUGCAUGGCUGUCGUCAGCUCGUGUCGUGAGAUGUUGGGUUAAGUCCCGCAACGAGCGCAACCCUCGUCCAAUGUUGCCAGCGGGUUAUGCCGGGGACUCAUUGGAGACCGCCGGGGUCAACUCGGAGGAAGGUGGGGAUGACGUCAAGUCAUCAUGCCCCUUAUGUCCAGGGCUUCACGCAUGCUACAAUGGCCGGUACAGUGAGCUGCGAGCCUGUGAGGGUGAGCGAAUCUCUAAAAGCCGGUCUCAGUUCGGAUUGGGGUCUGCAACUCGACCCCAUGAAGUCGUAGUCGCUAGUAAUCGCAGAUCAGCAACGCUGCGGUGAAUACGUUCCCGGGGCUUGUACACACCGCCCGUCAAGUCAUGAAAGUCGGUAACA